rnacentral:rRNA from 1 species
CCUACGGGAGGCAGCAGUGAGGAAUAUUGGUCAAUGGGCGCGAGCCUGAACCAGCCAAGUCGCGUGAGGGAUGACGGCCCUACGGGUUGUAAACCUCUUUUGCCGGGGAGCAACGGGCUCCACGUGUGGCCCCACUGAGAGUACCCGGAGAAAAAGCAUCGGCUAACUCCGUGCCAGCAGCCGCGGUAAUACGGAGGAUCCGAGCGUUAUCCGGAUUUAUUGGGUUUAAAGGGUGCGUAGAUGGGUUGUUAAGUCAGUUGUGAAAGUUUGCGGCUCAACCGUAAUAUUGCAAUUGAUACUGGCAGUCUUGAGUACGCGUGAGGUAGGCGGAAUGCGUGGUGUAGCGGUGAAAUGCAUAGAUAUCACGAAGAACUCCGAUUGCGAAGGCAGCUCACUGGACUGCAACUGACACUGAGGCUCGAAAGUGUGGGUAUCAAACAGGAUUAGAUACCCCAGUAGUC